GAUAUUUGUAGCUGUUUCUUUGAUGCCGCUUUGUAUAAAUUCGACUUUGUAGCAGACCAGCUCUACAUUCUCGCAAUGGCAUGCACAAGAGAGCACACUACAGACGGGGAGAGAGCAACUUCAUGCACGUUUAAAAUAGUAAUGAUUCUUCUGGCCUGGAACCUAAUUCCCACUGCCUUGGUAAUCACAGCCUUUGUGGAGCUACGAAGCAAUUUAAAAGGGGAACUAGAACGCGGUAUCAAAGUGAAUGAGUCACGGCCUGCACUGGUGCACUUAACCGGGCAUCACAGCGACCGGGGAAAAUUGAAUGAUGAAGUGCUGGAUAUUUAGAAAACGGCAAGUUCUAAAAUGACUUCGCUUGGUGCCAACCUGAGUUCAAUCAUAAUAAAGGAAAGCGGCAACUACUUUGUCUAUGCUCAGCUAUACUUUCAAGUUCCAUUCAACUCAAAGCUGGACAAGUUCGACCAGAGCUACUUGGCAUUUUUCGUUUGUCGAAUAUCCAAAGCCACAACGAGUAUCUUGAUGCGAGCCGUGGCAUCAAACGGCUUCCAAGGGAAGAAGAAUGUAUUGACAUAUCACAAAUCUUUUAGAAGCAAGGCAACAACAUCCUAGUCCAGAAUGAAUGCAAUCGACAGCGUAUUGCAAUAUUGAUAACAUAGUAAACACCGUCUGUGUAGAAAACUUCGACGACACUAAAGAUUGUUUCGACCAGGCAGAAAGCGAGCUAGAGCCAAGUCGGAAGCGUGUUCGGAUGGAAAGACACACCCCGUCUUCUGAAAGAAAAAGAUGAGGAACAGGAGACUGUUUUUCUCUGUGCGCGCUCGAAAGUGUCUAAAUAAAAUAGACAAAAUCCAUACCGUUUCAAUCUCCCGCCAAAAUUACAUCGCCGCGCGCCUCCACAAGCGCUCUCAUUAAAUCUAAAGAAAUAACGCCACAAGAAAAAAAGCGUCGCAUUAAAACAAAAGGUGGCCAAUUCAUGAAAUCCCGGAAUGUUGUUGCGUAUGCCUAUCAGGAAAACAUCAACGAAGUUAUCGGCAAUUUGGCAUCAAUUUGUUGUGGUUGGGGCAACGGAUGUGAUCUUCUCAAGACUGGAGGCCAAAGAAGCAUUCAACACGACUCUUUCGAAACAAAGCCAGUCAAUUCUCCUAAAAUCCAUUCGAAUGCCAGAUUGGGCCUAUCUUCUUUUGAGAAUCAGAACAAAAAUUUCAGAUGCUUUCAGAUGGAAGACCCUAUACUUAACCUUACCCAACUUGGAUCACCUAGGAAAACCACAGACUUCGCCAUUCUUCCAACAAAGAACCAAAUUUGUGCAAUGAAAGUGGUGCUGUUUGGCGCUACUUACGACACUGUUGGAACUAGUGAAUUACCUGAUGGGCUCCUAGAUGCACAAGUAAACCUAGUUUCUGUGUUGGUAUGGGGUAUUCGGGAAAUGCGAUUGCAUCAAGUAGAUGGCAGUGGCAACGACCGAACGCUACAUUUCAAUUUCAAACUGGAUGUAGACCUUUUUGGGGUAAAGAACUGAUAUCGUUCGGUGUGGUAUGCAUGCAGAUGAAGCUGGAGUCACAUCUCGCAAAAGACAAAUGUCCAUUUUUGCAUUUUGAUUCUGAAAUGAAUAUUCAAGAAGAGCUCCUUUCUUUUUUACAGCGCAAAUGGGCUUCGAGUGAAGAAGUAUUGAUUACACAAGUUAAUCUUAGAUGCCUUACAAACAAGUGUCUAUUGUGAAUGUGGAGCGAAAGGUGAAUGAGUCACGGCCUGCACUGGUGCACUUAACCGGGCAUCACAGCGACCGGGGAAAAUUGAAUGAUGAAGUGCUGGAUAUUUGGAAAACGGCAAGUUCUAAAAUGACUUCGCUUGGUGCCAACCUGAGUUCAAUCAUAAUAAAGGAAAGCGGCAACUACUUUGUCUAUGCUCAGCUAUACUUUCAAGUUCCAUUCAACUCAAAGCUGGACAAGUUCGACCAGAGCUACUUGGCAUUUUUCGUUUGUCGAAUAUCCAAAGCCACAACGAGUAUCUUGAUGCGAGCCGUGGCAUCAAACGGCUUCCAAGGGAAGAAGAAUGGUCUGUAUACCUCAUAUUCCGGUAGUGUUCACCAACUUAAAGAGGGAGAUGUACUGUUUGUUAGUGUAGUUAAAAAACAACGCGUCGUGGUAAACACAAACGAAAGCAGCUCCUUUUUUGGAGCUUUUAAACUUGAAUUUUAUAUUUAUUUUAGUAUUGACAUAUCACAAAUCUUUUAGAAGCAAACAUGUUUCGGCAAACUGUCAUCUUCAGUACGAUGUGUAAGUGCGAUGUGUGCAAUUUAGAUAUAAAUGCAAGGUCUUUGCUGGCACGUGUUAUACACAUAUGAUACAAACAUGAAAUGUCGAAGCCAUGAAAGCGGAAAUUAUUUAC